rnacentral:rRNA from 1 species
AGAGUUUGAUCCUGGCUCAGAAUGAACGCUGGCGGCGUGCUUAACACAUGCAAGUCGUACGAGAAAGCUUAAAGCUUGCUUUAAGCGAGUAAAGUGGCGCACGGGUGAGUAACGCGUGGGUAAUCUACCUUUGAAUUCGGGAUAACCCGCCGAAAGGCGUGCUAAUACCGGAUAACAUCCAUACCUCCCCGGAGGUAUGGAUCAAAGACAGCCUCUCCAUGGAAGCUGUUGUUUGAAGAUGAGCCCGCGUCCCAUUAGCUUGUUGGUGGGGUAACGGCCUACCAAGGCCACGAUGGGUAGCUGGUCUGAGAGGAUGAUCAGCCACACUGGAACUGGAACACGGUCCAGACUCCUACGGGAGGCAGCAGUGAGGAAUUUUGCGCAAUGGGGGCAACCCUGACGCAGCAACGCCGCGUGAGUGAAGAAGGCCUUCGGGUCGUAAAGCUCUGUCAAGUGGGAAGAAACUGCUCAAUGUAAACAGCACUGAGCANGUGANG